AGGAAGGUGGGGAUGACGUCAAGUCAGCCAUGGCCCUUACGUCCGGGGCUACACACGUGCUACAAUGGCCGGUACAAAGGGUUGCGAAGCCGUGAGGUGGAGCGAAUCUCAAAAAGCCGGCCUCAGUUCGGAUUGGAGGCUGCAACUCGCCUCCAUGAAGUCGGAAUCGCUAGUAACCGCAAGAUCAGCUACGUUGCGGUGAAUACGUUCCCGGGCCUU
rnacentral:rRNA from 1 species